rnacentral:lncRNA from 1 species
CUUUUAGACUACUGCUCCUAAUUGAGAUGAAAAAGACAGACUGUACAGAGCAGACUUUGGAGAAAAAAGAUAUCUUUUGAGAAAAAUAGUAGCUCGGAAUAUUUUAAAAGUCGAAUAGAAGAACAGUAUCCAAAACUUACUGGGAUAGGAGGAUUUGAGUUGUUGCGAACUCAAGCCCGAAGUAGGUGUGAUUUGGAAGUCAUACAAUUACCUCCAGGAGGAUACAAUGUGAACUUUUUGGCAGACCAAAGCAAUCUGGGACAGGCAGUCUGUUAUAUUAGGCCAAUACAAAGGAACCUGUCUUUGAAAGAAGAAGAAUACAAUGAUGAUGUUGGUAUUCAGGAGAGAUGUAUCAGAUGUAAUGAGCUUAUUCCAUUGAGAUUGCUUAGAGAACAUGCAGAUGUCUGUGAAGUUGCAGAUAAGUUUUGGUAGGGAGAAGUUUGAGUAUGUACAGUUGUUUGACCUGUCUUACCAUGUUGCAGUCCCAGAAGAUGUUACCAUUAUGAAUAAAUGCAGGGGGUAUUAUGAUUUGUAUGUUAAACAAAGGUCUCAAAGCAUUUAUAUGCUGUAUGACUAGAUACUUGCUUCUGAAAUAAUUGUACAAGACAGCUUUAAGACUGACAUUCCUGACAAGAUGUGAACCUUCUGGACUUUAUGUCAGCCUGGCAUAAGCAUUUCGUUCCUGUAGCUUUGUGUAUCCCUCAAUUUACUAAGUACAUAUCUCAAUUAAAGAUAAUGCUAAUAGAUAUGUUUUAGUAAUAAAUGUGUGAUAGCUUUGUAAUGUAAACACUUUAAAAAUAGAAUGAAAAUGUACUUUGAUAACAAACAUUGAAAUAAAAAUUUAUCAGUAUAUUGUAUCAGUCAGU